rnacentral:rRNA from 1 species
ACCGGCGGCUCGAGUGGUAACCGCUAUUAUUGGGUCUAAAGGGUCUGUAGCCGGCCGGAUAAGUCUCUUGAGAAAUCCAGCAGCUCAACUGUUGGGCUUUCAGGGGAUACUGUCAGGCUCGGGACCGGGAGAGGUGAGAGGUACUUCAGGGGUAGGAGUGAAAUCCUGUAAUCCGUGGGGGACCACCUGUGGCGAAGGCGUCUCACCAGGACGGCUCCGACAGUGAGGAACGAAAGCUGGGGGAGCAAACCG